rnacentral:rRNA from 1 species
GAUGAACGCUAGCGGCAGGCUUAAUACAUGCAAGUCGUGGGGCAGCACAAAUAGCAAUAUUGGGUGGCGACCGGCAAACGGGUGCGGAACACGUACGCAACCUUCCUUCGAGCGGGGAAUAGCCCAGAGAAAUUUGGAUUAAUACCCUAUAAUAUUUUGAGAUGGCAUCAUCUUAUUAUUAAAGCUCCGGCACUUGAAGAUGGGCGUGCGCCUGAUUAGGUAGNGGUCGGGGUAAUGGCCCACCAAGCCUUCGAUCAGUAACUGGUGUGAGAGCAUGACCAGUCACACGGGCACUGAGACACGGGCCCGACUCCUACGGGAGGCAGCAGUAAGGAAUAUUGGGCAAUGGACGCAAGUCUGACCCAGCCAUGCCGCGUGGAGGAUGAAGGUCCUCUGGAUUGUAAACUUCUUUUAUCUGGGACGAAAAAGGAUUCUUUCCGACUGACGGUACCAGGUGAAUAAGC